rnacentral:rRNA from 1 species
UACGAAGGGGGCUAGCGUUGUUCGGAUUUAUUGGGCGUAAAGAGCGUGUAGGCGGCCAGGUAGGUCUGCUGUGAAAACUCGAGGCUUAACCUCGAGAUGUCGGCGGAAACCAUCUGGCUAGAGUCCGGAAGAGGAGAAUGGAAUUCCCGGUGUAGCGGUGAAAUGCGCAGAUAUCGGGAAGAACACCCGUGGCGAAGGCGGUUCUCUGGGACGGUACUGACGCUGAGGAGCGAAAGCGUGGGGAGCGAACAGG